UACGUAGGGGGCAAGCGUUGUCCGGAUUUAUUGGGCGUAAAGAGCGUGUAGGCGGCUUUACAGGUCCGUUGUGAAAACUCGAGGCUCAACCUCGAGACGCCGGUGGAAACCGUAAGGCUAGAGUCCGGAAGAGGAGAGUGGAAUUCCUGGUGUAGCGGUGAAAUGCGCAGAUAUCAGGAAGAACACCCGUGGCGAAGGCGACUACCUGGCCCAUUCUUGACGCUGAGGCGCGAAAGCUAGGGGAGCGAACGGG
rnacentral:rRNA from 1 species